rnacentral:rRNA from 1 species
GGAAUUUUGGACAAUGGGCGCAAGCCUGAUCCAGCCAUGCCGCGUUCGGGAAGAAGGCCUUCGGGUUGUAAACCGCUUUUGUCAGGGAAGAAACGCUCUGGGCUAAUACCCCGGGGUAAUGACGGUACCUGACGAAUAAGCACCGGCUAACUACGUGCCAGCAGCCGCGGUAAUACGUAGGGUGCGCGCGUUAAUCGGAAGUACUGGGCGUAAAGCGGGCGCAGGCGGUUGUGCAAGACAGAUGUGAAAUCCCCGGGCUUAACCUGGGAACUGCAUUUGUGACUGCACGGCUCGAGUGCGGCAGAGGGGGAUGGAAUUCCGCGUGUAGCAGUGAAAUGCGUAGAUAUGCGGAGGAACACCGAUGGCGAAGGCAAUCCCCUGGGCCUGCACUGACGCUCAUGCACGAAAGCGUGGGGAGCAAAC